GAUGAACGCUGGCGGCGUGCCUAAUACAUGCAAGUCGAGCGAACGGACGAGAAGCUUGCUUCUCUGAUGUUAGCGGCGGACGGGUGAGUAACACGUGGAUAACCUACCUAUAAGACUGGGAUAACUUCGGGAAACCGGAGCUAAUACCGGAUAAUAUUUUGAACCGCAUGGUUCAAAAGUGAAAGACGGUCUUGCUGUCACUUAUAGAUGGAUCCGCGCUGCAUUAGCUAGUUGGUAAGGUAACGGCUUACCAAGGCAACGAUGCAUAGCCGACCUGAGAGGGUGGUCGGCCACACUGGAACUGAGCCACGGUCCCGACUCCUACGGGAGGCAGCAGUAGGGAAUCUUCCGCAAUGGGCGAAAGCCUGACGGAGCAACGCCGCGUGAGUGGUGAAGGUCUUCGGAUCGUAAAACUCUGUUAUUAGGGAAGAACAUAUGUGUAAGUAACUGUGCACAUCUUGACGGUACCUAAUCAGAAAGCCACGGCUAACUACGUG
rnacentral:rRNA from 1 species